rnacentral:rRNA from 1 species
ACUCCUACGGGAGGCAGCAGUGGGGAAUAUUGCACAAUGGGCGCAAGCCUGAUGCAGCCAUGCCGCGUGUAUGAAGAAGGCCUUCGGGUUGUAAAGUACUUUCAGCAGUGAGGAAGGCGGAGUCGUUAAUAGCGGCCUCGUUUGACGUUAGCUGCAGAAGAAGCACCGGCUAACUCCGUGCCAGCAGCCGCGGUAAUACGGAGGGUGCGAGCGUUAAUCGGAAUUACUGGGCGUAAAGCGCAUGCAGGUGGUUUGUUAAGUCAGAUGUGAAAGCCCGGGGCUCAACCUCGGAAUUGCAUUUGAAACUGGCAGACUAGAGUACUGUAGAGGGGGGUAGAAUUUCAGGUGUAGCGGUGAAAUGCGUAGGGAUCUGAAGGAAUACCAGUGGCGAAGGCGGCCCCCUGGACAAAGACUGACGCUCAGAUGCGAAAGCGUGGGGAGCAAACAGGAUUAGAUACCCUGGUAGCGUCGUC